GACAGAGGGUGCAAACGUUGUUCGGAAUUACUGGGCGUAAAGCGCGUGUAGGCGGCUAAGUAAGUCGGAUGUGAAAUCCCACGGCUCAACCGUGGAAGUGCAUUCGAAACUGCAAGGCUAGAGUUCUGGAGAGGAAGGUGGAAUGCUUGGUGUAGAGGUGAAAUUCGUAGAUAUCAAGCGGAACACCGGUGGCGAAGGCGGCCUUCUGGACAGUAACUGACGCUGAGACGCGAAAGCGUGGGGAGCAAACAGG
rnacentral:rRNA from 1 species